UUCUAAGUCACAGGAUGAGAGAGGAGGUCAGCACAAGAUACAGGUCAUGAGGACUUGCUGAUAAAACAGGUUGCAGCAAAGAAGCCAGCUAAAACCCACCAAAACCAAGAUGGCAACGAGAGUGACCUCUGGUCAUCCUCACUGCUACACUCCCACCAGCACCAUGACAGUUUACAAAUGCCAUGGCAACGUCAGGAAGUUAUUCUAUAUGGUCUAAAAAGAGAAGGCAUGAAUAAUCCACCCCUUGUUUAGCAUAUCAUCAAGAAAUAACCAUAAAAAUGGGCAACCAGCAGCCCUGGGGCUGUUCUGCCUAUGGAGUAGCCAUUCUUUUAUUCUUCUACUUUCUUUCUUUUUUUUUUUUUUUGAGACGGAGUCUCGCUCUGUUGCCCGGGUUGGAGGGCAGUGGCGGGAUCUCAGCUCACUGCAAGCUCCGCCUCCCGGGUUUACGCCAUUCUCCUGCCUCAGCCUCCCGAGUAGCUGGGACUACAGGGGCCCGCCACCUCGCCCGGCUAGUUUUUUGUAUUUUUUAGUAGAGACGGGGUUUCACUGUGUUAGCCAGGAUGGUCUCGAUCUCCUGACCUCGUGAUCCGCCCGUCUUGGCCUCCCAAAGUCCUGGGAUUACAGGCUUGAGCCACCACGCCCGGCCUAUUCUUCUACUUUCUUAAUAAACUUGCUUUCACUUAGCUCUAUGGACUCACCUCGAAUUCUUUCUUGAGCGAGAUCCAAGAACCCUCUCUUGGGGUCUAGAUCAAGAACCCUUUCCGGUAACAAAGCUAGGCAAAUGGUAGAUUCUCUAAGAGCAUUUGUCUACUCUGAAAUUAGUAGAAAGUUCCUCCCUCCCUCUCUCUGGCAGCUGCAGUGAAAGACAGCGAAGGAAUUAUCCGGGAAUCACGAGGAGAAUGGAGACCACAUGGAAAGGAGUUUAAAAAUCACAUUUGGAAAAGUAGACCCUUUAUGCAAAAGAACAGCCACUGAGAGAAACAGCAACAGAGAUGGAUGGAUUAAAAACGGCAAGUUCUAUCAUCGCCACCCCCCGUCCCCCCACAUACUUUUCUCUCUUUUCAGGAUUCUGAUGGUGCCUGUUGGCUGCUUCCGUGAUGUCUGGAGUUGCAAAAUGUGCCAGAAAGCAGAAGGAUACACCGCCAUUCAGAGAGGAUUUUCUUAGGGACUUGAAGAAAUUGACCUCGAAAUUUCAGUAAAUGAGAGGACUGUGGCUGGCCUGUAUCUUUGGCACUGGGUACAUCCUGUCAUUCUUGUUGUACCUACAUAAGAGAAUUUAACUCUGGGUUCUCCCUGACUAAUUCCAGGGGAAGUAAAUGGGUAGACCCUUAACACUUCUGUGCCAGAAGGGACCUUGGAGGGCAUCUAGUCCAACCUUGCCAGUUGAGAAGCAGGAUUACCUAGUGGUUGGGAGCACAGACUUGAAGCCACAUAGUCCCAGUUUGAAACUGACUCCAUCGCUUACUAGCAGUAUGACCUUGGGCAAGUUACUAACCUCUGCCUCAGUUUCCUCAUCUGUAAGGUGGGGAUGGCAAUAAUUGUCGUUGCAUCAUAGGACUCUAGUGGGGGACUAAAUGAGUUAACACAUGUAAAGCACCAAGAAUGUGCAAAGCAUAC
rnacentral:lncRNA from 10 species